GUGAGCGGGUGUAGCGGUCGCGGCAUGGAUUUCCAUGUCGAGGAAAGUCCGGGCUCCGCAGGACAGGGUGGUGGGUAACGCCCACCGGGAGCGAUCCCAGGGAAAGUGCCACAGAAAAUAUACCGCCGUAGAUCUUCGGAUCCUCGGUAAGGGUGAAAUGGUGAGGUAAGAGCUCACCGCGGGGGCGGUGACGUCCCUGGCAGGGUAAACCCCUCCCGGAGAAAGACCAAACAGAGGCAAAGGAGUGGUCCGCUCCGUUCCCGGCAAUGUCGGGAGAAUGCCCGGGUAGGUCGUUUGAGCUGUCUGGCAACGGUCAGCCUAGAGGAAUGAUCGCACAUCGACCUUGCGUCGAUGAACAGGACUCGGCUUACGGCCCGCUCACCACU
rnacentral:RNase_P_RNA from 1 species